rnacentral:rRNA from 1 species
UACCAGCACCCCGAGUGGUCGGGACGUUUUAUUGGGCCUAAAGCGUCCGUAGCCGGUUCUACAAGUCUUCCGUUAAAUCCAACUGCUUAACAGGUGGGCUGCGGAAGAUACUAUAGAGCUAGGAGGCGGGAGAGGCAAGCGGUACUCGAUGGGUAGGGGUAAAAUCCGUUGAUCCAUUGAAGACCACCAGUGGCGAAGGCGGCUUGCCAGAACGCGCUCGACGGUGAGGGAUGAAAGCUGGGGGAGCAAACCGG